rnacentral:lncRNA from 1 species
GAACACAGGUCCUGGAUCAAAUGGGUCGAUGCCGUCGCUUUGUCUGGUUGUUAGGGACAUUGACCCCGCGGUAUGGUAUAGGGGUAUUUUCUGUAUGGACCUUAAAGUCUUAUAUGGGCCAGGCUAGGGUUAGUAUAAAUAAUAUAUUGUAACCCUAGUUUUAACAACUGAAAAAAGAAGUCUUUGCUUCGCUCUCGUGGACGUAGGCAAACCACCGAACCACGUAAAAUUCUUGUGUUGAUUUUCGUUUUUCAUCUCUUUAAUAUUGCGCAUAAAAUCCAACAGUUCCUUUGAUAUUUUUCUUGUGUAUUCUUUAUUGAAUUUCUUCCCAUUGUGUAUAUGUUUUUUGAUUUCUGCAGAUGUAGUGUUGAAUAUGGGAUUUUUCCCCUUUUUCGUUUGAUCUUUUGGGAGAUCAAACCCAAAAUACCUAUUAUGCAACGAGAGUGGAGAAGAUUGAGGCUGACCCAAGUAGAGAUCUGAUUGAUUUCCAGGUACACCAUUUUUAAUUUGCUUUUGAGGAUCACGUUCGAAUAGUUGAAUCAGACCAUACUUCAUCUUUAGUAACUUGUUAGUUGAGUUGUCAUCUGUGUAAAAACUACCUUUGAAUUGUAAUAAAUGUAAAUGAUGCUUCAAAUUGAUCAUAAUUCUUAGUGAACUUGUUGUCUUCUAUCGGGUUAUAAGAAUGUGAUUUCUUGAUGUUUUCAUGUGGCAGAACAUGCUAGAUUAUAUGGGAAAAAUUGUGAGCACCUUUUUUGAAUUGAGCUUUAACUUUAUUUUGAAGAUCUUCGCUGUGGUUGAAAUUCAAGAUGGUUAGAAUUUUGUGUUAUGUUAUAAAUGCAUCUAUUUGGUUGCAACUUGCAAGUUAUAUAAAAUUUGUUUCAGUCCCCUCUCGAUGAAAGAAACAAACUUUACAAUUUCCUGUUUGGUUGACAUUAGACCACGGACAUAGAAGUUGAGUGUUUCAAUUUAGUGAAUAAAUUAGAGCUGAGUUGGAACACGAAAAAAUUCGACCAAAGAAGAGAUCACCAAAGAAGAGAUCACAAUUGCGAUGGGAUUUCUCUUCCUACUCUCUAGGGCUUCAAAUCUUGAAUGUUGAGGUACAACCCUUUUAAGCACUUUGGUUGUCUUCAAGUGCAUUUUGCCAGAAGUAUUUCAGUGCAUUUUGCCAGAAGUAUUUCAAAGUUUUUAGGUGCAUCCCCAAUUCUCUCCCACAAAUGAAAAUAUGUUAAUGUAUUUUUCUUCAUUCUUUAUCGUCUUUUUGUUUGUAAUUUAAUUUCAUUUAAUUGGAUUUGGUUUCUUUUGAUUUCACGUGCUCAUGCCUUUGUAAUCUGAUGUUUGAGUGAGUAGUGUGAUUCUAAUUGAAACCUAACCUUUGAACAGGUGCAAUUUUAAAUUGUUGGGAUCCCGUUUGUUAACUCAGUUGAGAACAGAAUAGAAGAUUCAAUAUUUGUGAACUUCUUUUCCUACAGUCUAUUUGAAUGUUUGUUUGGUUUUUUAAGUUCUCUCUCAUUUCUUAGACAAUCCUACUGGAUAUAAACCUUUGGUUUGGUUUCUUCUGAAUGGGUUCGACCUUCUGUGUCACUAUGUUUUGUAGAUUUACAGGUCAUUUGCAUUUCUCUGUUCUUUGUACGGUCUUUUUCGUGAAUUUUGAAAAGCAUUUGGAACUCCUUUAUUAGUUUGAGUGGGAGGGCAUUGCCCGGGUGCUUACAAGUGUUUAAUGUUGAACUUUUGACAUGAAAAUAUAAUGUUUAAGCUGUGCUAUUUUUCUGUGCAGGAAGCUGUUUUUUAAUUGCAUUUUGGCUAGCUGUUGAAGCAAAAGAAAAAUUGCUUUGACAUCAUAAGCUGGAAAAUAUAUUUGACCAAUGGAAGUUAACUGUAAGCUAAGAAGG